UCACAUGUAGAUAAAGAAGACUGCAUCACUGGACCCCAGAGGACACUUCCCACAUAAAGCCACCCCCACAAAGACUAGGAUUCAUAGAAUAUCCUUCUAAUACACAGAAAAAAAAAAAAAAAAAACAGAAAGAGGCAGCCACAGUGGGUAGACAAAGAUACAGGCUACAAAUGAAAGAAAAGGAGAAAUCUCCAGAAAAAGAGCUAA